GUGUGCUGUAGACAGGGGCUGCAGUGUAGAAGCUACUUGUCACUCCCUGGGCUUAGAGAGGGAAAAGGAGGUAAAUCAAGGGAGCGAGCGAAGCCUUGGGAUCCUGGCCCUGAGGAAAGGGUUUACCAAGAAGCGUGUAGAGGAGAACCUAUUGGAGGCAGAGUAGGAAGCAGCCCAGGGAAAGAGAAGUGAGGGUUGAAAUUGUAUAGACAUUGGCGGCUGAUUAUAUGGUCCCUGAGUUGCAACCUGGAGUAGUGGGUGGGCCUGGGUUCCCCUACCAAUACUGGGAAGUGGCACAGGGUUAUGGGAGACAGCUGGAAAACUGGUCUGGAAGGACUUUGAUACUCCAGAAGGGAGGAGUACCUAGUGACCUAACCAGAAAGCUGAGACACAAAGAGAGAGAGAACCCUGAGUUGCAGAGAAAGAGAUGCGGUGGGGUGAAUGAACAACAGAAGGGGAGAGCUGAUUCCCCAGACACAGCCACAGAGAGGCGCACCAAUGGUCUCUAGAUCGAGUCCACUGAGUGGUUCUUUCUUGUAUGAGGAGCCCCACUGAAAUGAAUUGCCUCUCAUUUGAAUCUUUCAGUCUUCAACUUCCAGCCAUUAGAGUGUGUUGUACUUCUGCUACUUGACUAAGGAGUCGAGCUGGUGAGCCCAAAAUAUUGCCCCAGAGACCAAACUGAGUAACUCAGUGCCAUGGAAGAAAGAUCUUCCUUCCAGACAGAGCUCCUCUUUGGCUGACAGUUCAGCCUCAGGGCUGGAGUACCCUUUGUGAAACUAAUGUGUCCAGCCCAAUACAAACACCCAGGAAGAAGGACUGGAAAAUCAAUGUAGUUGUGAAUCCUCUCACCUCACUCCCAAAGGGAAAUUUUGCAUGGACAGACAAGGAACUCAUGUGGAAUAUGCAUAGAAUCUGCAAAAUGCAGGGAAUGAAUGAUACCUGCCGGGUAUCCAGAAUCCUAUCCCUAUCUCUUACCACUUCCCACAGAGAAGAAUCACAGCUGUUCACAUUGUGAAUCACAUUCUGUUCUUCAUUCAUGGAGGCUGGAGAAGGAUUUUUGUUCAGUGGUGAAUACUGUAGCUAUAUGGAAGAAAAUAAUCAUAUAAAGAUAUAUACCUUCUAUAAGGUGAACAAUGUCUGGAAUGUUGUCAGCCAGCC